GUCGAGCGGCCCUACAAUACGGAGCAGCAGACGGGAGAGUUCACGUGGGAAGGAGAACUUCGGUUCGGAAUAACUCAGGGAAACUUGGGCUAAUACCUGACCCGCCCUUACGGGGAAAGAUUUAUUGCCGAAGGAACGGCCCGCGUCCGAUUAGCUUGUUGGUGAGGUAACGGCUCACCAAGGCGACGAUCGGUAGCUGGUCUGAGAGGAUGACCAGCCACACUGGGACUGAGACACGGCCCAGACUCCUACGGGAGGCAGCAGUGGG
rnacentral:rRNA from 1 species